UUAUUAGACUGUUCCAUGACAAAAAUGAACAAACACACACAUGGUAAAUUUGGUUUGGAGUACGGAGUCUUAUCAAUGUUUUCCAAGUAGAAACGCUUACUUACAAAAGUAUUUUCAGAUCUCAGUGACUGAUGCUGGAAAGAGCUGUAGGGAGUUUCCUCAAACUUCAGUUGUAGCAGCACUCUACUUUAACAGAACUGGUCAAUCCAGUGGCAUAAUUAUAGGGGAUAAUUUUCAGGUGAGGUGUGAGGUGCCUUCCAAAAAGACUAUAGAGUCUCUUCAGUCCUUCGGAGUCACGAUAACACAGUCUAAACUCUGAAAACUAUUUUAUUGUCAUGGAAAUCUUCAAUUUUAUCAGCUGACAUUAGAGAAUGUCUAUCAGGCAUCCAGAAAAACAAUGACUCGGUUGUUACCCUCAAAGAACCCACCGACAGCCUAGCAGAAAAUGCCAACUAUGUUCUCCCUCAUAUCGUUUCAUUGAAUUCCUACAACCUUGAGGUAAGUAUGGUUACCAUCACGUCCCACCAGGAAAGAAACUAAGGCUAAGGGAUUCCACCCCAAAUCACACAGCCAAUAAAUAACAGGCCACCAAACCCGUGGGUAUUGAUGGGCACCAGUUAGAGUAGGGAGUCCAAAUCCUAAGCAUGCUGUUCAGUUUUUCCUAUCAAAUGACGAGUCCCCCAUUUCACGGGUACCAUUGACUUCUAUAUCUCCUUGGACCCAGGAUGAAGAGCCUGGCACCUCCUGGUCACAACCAGGCUGUUCGAAGCCUCGGCGCCACCAGCUCGGCAGAGAGUCCAGUGCGCAUGCCUGGGCCUGGGGGACCGGCCGAGCCCUGAGGGUCUGAGAACGAAACCUGCCCGAGGUGCCUCAGCGCCCCAACCCAGGACCCCUCAGAGACUCGCUCCCGGCCGCCCAGGCCAGACCCGUCUCCUGAGGGCAGAAACCCACGAAGCGCGGCCAUCAGCCCCGAGGCCCAAGCAGGCGCUGACUGAGGGGCGGCAGGGGAAGCGGUCCUCAUGGGCCGAGCGAGACUCGGUGGGCCGCGGGGCCGAACGAAGGCGCGCUGCGGGGCCUCUCCCCUUGCUGCCGGGCUGCCCGCCUUCCUGCCCGGGACGGGCCCGCCGAGGCGUGCGCAGCGGGCCCGCUUGCGACCCCUCGGAGGCAUGGGGCUCCGUCCCGCCAGCCGCCCGCGUGCAGGCCUGAGGCCCGAGCCCCUGCCUCUGGCUGCCAGCCCGCGCUCGGCGUUCACCGCGCUCGGCCGGGGCCCGCCUCUAAGCCGUUUUCGCUUUCGCUUUCCUGCCGCCGUCGUUGAGGAAAAUGAAAGUGACCGUGGCGGUGGCCCGGACUCGCGCAGCAGCUCGUCGGAGCGAGGGGCGCAGAGAGCGGCGGCAGUCGGCGUGGAGCCGCGAGCUGGGGCCGCUGCCCGCACCAGACUAGGUGGCAGCACGCCCUGGACUUCUCUGCCCUGCGAGCAGUGCCCAGGCUGGACUGCAGAAAAAUAAGAAAAUGGACUCCCAGCUGCCAUCUGCAAUGUGCCAGAGUUUGUAGCCUUUUGGAGGAAGACCACAACAAGGUAAGAGAAUAAUAAGACUGUGUCUAGUUUGGGACUUCCAAACUUACAAGGCCUUGGAAGGUAUUCAAGGAAGACCAGGAUGUUGGAAGUGUUGGCAGCUAGAUGAAGCGAAGGUCCAGAGGACUCAUCUUGACUUCCUGGAUAGAGUGUGGGUGCUGGGACAGUGAGGACAGCGCAGUAUUUAACAGUGGAUCAUCAGCGGUGGCUGCAAGGUCUCAGACCCAAGAAGAUUGUGCUCCCCUUGGGAAGACAGGGCAACCUCCCCCAAGCCAGUCGGCUGUGUCCAUAGCCUGGCUCUCCUGCUCUGCCUCCCCGGCCUCCCUCCAGGCCUCUGUCUUUCACCCCUUGCUUUUCCUCCAGGCCUGCUGAAGUCAGGGUGUCCUGGGCAUUCUUUCUUUCUUUCUUUCUUUCUUUUUUUUUUUUAAGCAAGGAUGGUUUGGAUGUAGAUGUAGAGAAAUAUAGGAUGCUUCCUGCAUAGGGAUUCUCUGAUCCUGGGUUAAACCACAGUCCAAAUUUUAAAGAGUGAAAACACUCAGUAAAUAAUGGCUGUGGGGAAUUGUGUACCAAUGUGCAUAGUGUUAAAAAUGUGUCCAGCAUUGGACCAAGCGAUUCCACUUUCUGGAAUUUAUCCUAGGAAAAUAAUCACAGUUAUGCAAAGAUGUGUGUACAAAGAUAAUUUGUCACUGCAUUGUUUUUAUAAGAAAGAGUGAGAGAGAGGAAGGAAGGAAAGAGAAAAGAAAGGAAAAGAAUUGGAAAGCCCAAGAAAAAGGAAUUAGUCCUUUAAAAUCUGGCACAUCCACACAAGAGCAUGUCACACAGCAGGAUGACCUAGGUGUGUAGUUAAUGGCAAGAAAGAAGUUUGCAUAUAUUACUAAGUUAAGGAACAAACAAACAAAAAAAAAAGGAAAUGUAAAAAACUCAGCAAACAUGCAAAGUGAGUGGCUUGGGAAACAGGCUGGAGGGCUGAAAUCCAGGUCAGUCUCUUUUAACCCAUGUGAGAGCUCAGGCAGGUGAUUUGAUCUCCCUAAGCUUCUACUUCUUUCCAGUAGAAUGGGCAUAAUAACACAGGUCUUGCAGAGUUAUAAGAAUUGGGUGGGAUUAAUACAUCUAAAGACCUGGGCACAGAUUCCAGCCUGUAUUGAGUGUUCAGCAGGUGGGCACCCAGAUGAGGUGUGAACCAGUAGUAUUUUUACUUGUGUAUAAGCCUGGAAACGUUCUGGAAAUUCAUAGUCAAGUAGUGGUUUUAUUUGGCUGGU